ensembl:lincRNA
GGAUCUCUCACCUUGGAAGCCAUAAGAGUUAAACAGUGGAUUCUUCAUUCUUCAUUAAUGCUUCUGAACACUGGUAACCAUACAAUUCUGGCCCUUCUGAAGGAACACCAGUGCUAGAGCUCUGCAUACGUUUUCUGUUACCUGCCAUCCACCACACCUACCCUUUGAAGCUCUAAACUGUGACCAGUGCAGCUGUGGUUCUGGAUUAAAGCAGUUGUUCCAUCCCAGAGGCACCUUCCUCAUUCCUGCUCGGAGAGCCGCCAGCAGUCUGGUGCUGCCCGUGGAGAAGGACAGACCCUUGAACUGAGGGCACUGCAGAGAUCAGAGAGCACUGGACAUCAGGUCUGCUUGUCCAGUCUGAUGGAGAGAGAACUCUGAGGGACAGAGAGGCACAUUGCAGUUAAAGGUAGGAGACCACUGUCUUUACUGUGAGGGUACAGAAUUUCA